ensembl:lncRNA
UCUCCCCCAGAGCGGAACUACGACGUGGGAAAUCGGGAGCUCCUCGCCGUCAAGCUCGCGCUCGAGGAGUGGCGUCACUGGCUGGAGGGGGCGGAACUGCCGUUCGUCGUGUGGACGGACCACAAGAAUCUGAGUUAUAUCCAGUCUGCAAAACGUCUCAACUCCCGCCAGGCAAGUCCGUUCAGACGUAUUACAGUGGGGUCACUCAUCGAGGCUGGCUUGUCAUCCCGGGAUCAACCGGACUCUGGCUUUCCUGCAACGCCGGUUCUGGUGGCCUACCAUGGACCGGGACACCAGGUCUUUCAUCGCCGCAUGUACCACCUGUGCGCGCAACAAGACAACCAACAAACCCGGUCGGGACUGCUUCGCCCGCUCCCCAUCCCCAGUCGUCCGUGGUCCAACAUCGCCCUGGAUUUCGUUACCGGUCUCCCUCCAUCCAGAGGUUUUCCGAAUACACGGCAUCCCUGCGGACAUCGUGUCGGACCGGGGCCCCCAAUUUAUCUCCCAGGUGUGGCGAGCCUUUUGUUUGGCCCUGGGAACCACAGCCAGUCUCUCCUCUGGAUAUCACCCUCAG